AGUCACUCAGUGGUGCUUUGCUAUCAAUACAAUCUGCCUCAUCGGAUUUACCAAGGUCGUCUAAAUCAACCUCAGCAAGUAAAUUAUCAGCUUUUGCAACACUGUGAAGCUGAAAGUGUAUCAUACCUGGAUGAGGUGGCCAGCAACACAGCAACUCAGGAUAUGGCACACAUUCUGUUGGACUCGAGGUUCCUGCAUUGCGGAAAAAAGAUUGGUAAAGAUUCAAGACAGUUAAAUGCUCCCUCCAAUAACUCCCUCCAAGGCAAGUUACCAGAAGGGCAACUUGAGCUUAAUACAAAGCUCUUGACAAGUGCCGUCUUAUAUGCUUCAAAUUAUCUGUCAUUCAUCAUGAAGUGUGUUUAUAGGGUUUGUAUUUUCUGUAUGUAUUUUGUGUAGUGCAGGCAGUGUGUAAUGUUUUUUUGUAUGUAUGUGUAAGUGUGUGUAUUUGUGUAGUGCAAGCAGUGUGUAUAUUUUAUG